rnacentral:rRNA from 1 species
AGGAUGAACGCUGGCGGCGUGCUUAACACAUGCAAGUCGAGCGAGAAGCUCGUGAACGAUUCUUCGGAUGAGUGAUCGAGUGGAAAGCGGCGGACGGGUGAGUAACGCGUAGGCAACCUGCCCCAUACAAAGGGAUAGCUACUGGAAACGGUAAUUAAUACCUCAUAACACGGAGAGACCGCAUGAUCUUUCCGUCAAAGAUUUAUCGGUAUGGGAUGGGCCUGCGUCUGAUUAGCUGGUUGGUGGGGUAACGGCCCACCAAGGCGACGAUCAGUAGCCGACAUGAGAGGGUAAACGGCCACAUUGGAACUGAGACACGGUCCAAACUCCUACGGGAGGCAGCAGUGGGGAAUAUUGCACAAUGGGGGGAACCCUGAAUGCAGCAACGCCGCGUGAGCGAAGAAGGCCUUUGGGUCGUAAAGCUCUGUCCUGAAGGAAGAAGGAAGUGACGGUACUUCAGGAGGAAGCCCCGGCUAACUACGUGCCAGCAGCCGC